rnacentral:rRNA from 1 species
CUCAGGACGAACGCUGGCGGCGUGCUUAACACAUGCAAGUCGAACGAUGAACCACUUCGGUGGGGAUUAGUGGCGAACGGGUGAGUAACACGUGGGCAAUCUGCCCUUCACUCUGGGACAAGCCCUGGAAACGGGGUCUAAUACCGGAUAUGAGCCUGGGAGGCAUCUCCUGGGUUGUAAAGCUCCGGCGGUGAAGGAUGAGCCCGCGGCCUAUCAGCUUGUUGGUGAGGUAAUGGCUCACCAAGGCGACGACGGGUAGCCGGCCUGAGAGGGCGACCGGCCACACUGGGACUGAGACACGGCCCAGACUCCUACGGGAGGCAGCAGUGGGGAAUAUUGCACAAUGGGCGAAAGCCUGAUGCAGCGACGCCGCGUGAGGGAUGACGGCCUUCGGGUUGUAAACCUCUUUCAGCAGGGAAGAAGCGAGAGUGACGGUACCUGCAGAAGAAGCGCCGGCUAACUACGUGCCAGCAGCCGCGGUAAUACGUAGGGCGCAAGCGUUGUCCGGAAUUAUUGGGCGUAAAGAGCUCGUAGGCGGCUUGUCACGUCGAUUGUGAAAGCCCGAGGCUUAACCUCGGGUCUGCAGUCGAUACGGGCUAGCUAGAGUGUGGUAGGGGAGAUCGGAAUUCCUGGUGUAGCGGUGAAAUGCGCAGAUAUCAGGAGGAACACCGGUGGCGAAGGCGGAUCUCUGGGCCAUUACUGACGCUGAGGAGCGAAAGCGUGGGGAGCGAACAGGAUUAGAUACCCUGGUAGUCCACGCCGUAAACGGUGGGAACUAGGUGUUGGCGACAUUCCACGUCGUCGGUGCCGCAGCUAACGCA